rnacentral:snRNA from 10 species
GUACUUACCUGGCAAGGGACAGACCAUGAUCACAAAGGUGGUUUUCCCAGAGCGAGGCUUACCCAUUGCCCUCCGAUGUGCUGACCCCCGAUGGGAAAAAAAGAGAAUCCUGGAUUGUUAGAGUCAGUCAGUUUGAGCUGGUCCAGUUCUAG